CUAUAGCUUGACACUGAACAUUGAGCCUUGAUGUGUAGGAUAGGUGGGAGGCUUUGAAGUGUGGACGCCAGUCUGCAUGGAGCCGACCUUGAAAUACCACCCUUUAAUGUUUGAUGUUCUAACGUUGGCCCGUUAUCCGGGUUGCGGACAGUGUCUGGUGGGUAGUUUGACUGGGGCGGUCUCCUCCUAAAGAGUAACGGAGGAGCACGAAGGUUGGCUAAUCCUGGUCGGACAUCAGGAGGUUAGUGCAAUGGCAUAAGC
rnacentral:rRNA from 1 species